AAAAGAACAUGCAGUACGUGGACCGACGAGGAGGUCGAAGCUCUCCUCACCGUCUGCACCACGGAGGAUUUUCAGAGAAGUUUUAAAGGCUCGCAGCAGAAUAGAAAAAUGUUGGUGACGAUCUCGGUUAGAGAACGCGAAGCAGGGCACGUAGAAAACUCACACAAGAACACAAAUAAAUUAAGAACCACGACAACCGGAGCCGGACGAACCGAAAACCAGUAAAUACCACAGCUUGGACCACCGACGUGUCUCCUCCUGCGUACGGAGGUGACGCAGUGAAACAUCUUCAGAGUUUGAAGGUUAGUAAACAGGAUAAGAAGCAUUAAAGCUUCUGUAUAAACCUCAGAGUUGUUCUCAGGUACCACCCACAUAGCUGAGCUGAUCUACUUCACCUGUUUCCAUCUUUUUUGUAAAUAAUCUGGUUCUGAUCCACGUUUACUUCAUCAGAGAUGGAACCUGAACACCAUCCUGGAUGCUCCUGCUGCCUCCAGCAGCUGCAUCCAUCAGCAGCUACCAGAACCAGCGUCAACCACCAGCCAGCUGCAGGAAGUAGAAAAAGGGUCGACUCUCUUCUGGCUGCUGUGCAGGACCAGCUGUUAGAUGCUGAACAGCAGAAGAAAAGCGAUGCAGCUUCAACAUCCUGAAGUCUUCCAGGAGCAGAGCGAGCGGCUGGACGGGCGGAGGUGAAGCCAGCAGAGAUCUGUGAUGGAGGCUCUCUGGGUGGACUGGACAGGAUGGCAGGAAAAGCCAAAGUGAUAUGA